rnacentral:rRNA from 1 species
UAAUACGAAGGGGGCUAGCGUUGCUCGGAAUGACUGGGCGUAAAGGGCGCGUAGGCGGUUUGGACAGUUAGGCGUGAAAUUCCUGGGCUCAACCUGGGGACUGCGCUUAAUACAUCCAGACUUGAGUGUGGAAGAGGGUUGUGGAAUUCCCAGUGUAGAGGUGAAAUUCGUAGAUAUUGGGAAGAACACCGGUGGCGAAGGCGGCAACCUGGUCCAUUACUGACGCUGAGGCGCGAAAGCGUGGGGAGCAAACAGGAUUAGAUACCCUGGUAGUCCACGCCGUAAACGAUGUGUGCUGGAUGUUGGGUGACCUAGUCACUCAGUGUCGUAGCUAACGCGAUAAGCACACCGCCUGGGGAGUACGGCCGCAAGGUUG